CCGUCAAGGUUUUUUAAUUAUUAAGGGAAAGGGGGACUGAGCCCAACAAGAGCUGACAAAUAAAUUUAAGACAAUGAGUUUGGUGUUGAAGUAAGAGUCUUUUUGCACUAAAUAGAUCGUGUAUUAAAUUGUCUCUGAAUUUAUUGGGUCGGCUCGCACAUCGGCACAUGUGGUGACCUUACCAUUCUUGUCUCUGCAUUUAAUACUCCCUCCGUUUUUUUAUAUAAAUCGUUUUAGAGAAAUUUUUAUGUUCCAAAUUAUAU
rnacentral:lncRNA from 1 species